rnacentral:ncRNA from 2 species
AUUAAAUAAAUUGUUAUGAGUGCUGUUGAAUCGAAAUUCAACAGAGAAUAGGAAAAUGGGUUGAAUUCCCAUGCUGUCACGCAGCUGUAAGCGAGAAGUUUGAUUUCAUAAUGUCACUGGUGUUUUUGACACUGGGAAGGCGAAAUUAAGAUGAUGAUCCGUAAGCCAGAAGACCUGCUUAUAAUACGAUUCGUUG